UACGGAGGGGGCUAGCGUUGUUCGGAAUUACUGGGCGUAAAGCGCGCGUAGGCGGACCUGCAAGUCGGGGGUGAAAACCCGAGGCUCAACCUCGGGACGUCGGCGGAAACCAUUUGGCUAGAGUCCGGAAGAGGAGAGUGGAAUUCCCGGUGUAGCGGUGAAAUGCGCAGAUAUCGGGAAGAACACCCGUGGCGAAGGCGGCUCUCUGGGACGGUACUGACGCUGAGAAGCGAAAGCAUGGGGAGCGAACAGG
rnacentral:rRNA from 1 species